UUUCCGUAGGUGAACCUGCGGAAGGAUCAUUACAGUAGUCACCCAGGUUGCCGCAAGGCCUCCUGGGUAACCUACCACCCUUUGUUUAUUACACUUUGUUGCUUUGGCAAGCCUGCCCUCGGGCUGCUGGCUCCGGCCGGCGAGCGCUUGCCAGAGGACCUAAACUCUGUUUGUCUAUACUGUCUGUGUACUAUAUAAUAGUUAAAACUUUCAACAACGGAUCUCUUGGUUCUG
rnacentral:misc_RNA from 1 species